AGGUUAACCGAAAGGGAGCCGGAGCGAAAGCGAGCCUUAACAGGGCGACUUGAGUCCCGCGCCGCGGACGCGAAGCCGGGUGAGCUAUCCGUGGGCAGGCUGAAGCGGGGGUAAGACCCCGUGGAGGGCCGAACGCACGUCGGUUGAAAACGGCGGCGAUGACCUGCGGAUAGGGGUGAAAGGCCAAUCAAACCCGGAGAUAUCUCGUUCUCCCCGAAAUAGCUUUAGGGCUAGCGUCGCGCGUUCACCGCCGGAGGUAGAGCACCGGAUGGACGAGGGGGCUUCGCCGCCUACCGAAUCCAACCGAACUCCGAAUGCCGGCGGCCCAGAGCGCGGCAGUCAGAGCAUGUGGGCUAAGCUGUGUGCUCGAGAGGGAAACAGCCCGGACCGCCCGCUAAGGUCCCCAAGUUCCAGCCGAGUGGCAAAGGAUGUGCGUCCGCCCAGACAACCAGGAUGUUGGCUUAGAAGCAGCCAUCCAUUCAAAGAGUGCGUAACAGCUCACUGGUCGAGUGGACAUGCGCCGACAAUACACGGGGCUAAGCUGGACACCGAAGCGGCGGGAUUUUAAUUCAUUAGAAUCGGUAGGGGAGCUUCCCAUGGGCGGAGAAGCCGGAGGGCGACCGACGGUGGAGCGCAUGGGAGUGAGAAUGCUGGCAUGAGUAGCGAGAGACGAGAGAGUAACUCGUCCGCCGUGAACCCGAGGUUUCCUGGGCAAGGCUAAUCCUCCCAGGGUCAGUCGGGGGCUAAGGCGAGGCCGGUAGGCGUAGCCGACGCGCAGCAGGCAGACAUUCCUGCACCGCGCACGCGGCGCUACGACCGACGGGGCGACGGAUGGGGGUGGCUCGGCGGGGUUCUGGACGUCCCCGUGAUGGAGCGCGGCCCGCGGACCAGGGAAAUCCGGUCCGCAGAAGGGCGAGGCUCCGGACGAAGCGACUGAGCGAAGCGAGUGAGCCCGAGGUCCCUAGAAAAACCCCUAGGCAGGCGCGUGCGCGCCCGUACCGCAAACCGACACAGGUGGGUGGGUAGAACAUACCGAGGCGAUCGGGUCAACCAUGGUCAAGGAACUCGGCACAAUGGCCCCGUAACUUCGGGAGAAGGGGUGCCCGCGCGUACGUGAACCGGCUUGCCCGGGGAGCGGAGGCGGGCCGCAGUGGAGAGGCCCAAGCGACUGUUUACCAAAAACACAGGACUCUGCAGAAGCCGCAAGGCGACGUAUAGGGUCUGACGCCUGCCCGGUGCCGGAAGGUCACGCGGAGGAGUUAGCGCAUCGCGCGAAGCCCCGAAGCCAAGCCCCGGUAAACGGCGGCCGUAACUAUAACGGUCCUAAGGUAGCGAAAUUCCUUGUCGGGUAAGUUCCGACCUGCACGAAAGGCGCAACGACUUGGGCGCUGUCUCGACCAUGGACCCGGUGAAAUUGCACUGGUCGUGAAGAUGCGACUUACCCGCGGAAGGACGGAAAGACCCCGUGAACCUUCACUGCAGCUUGGCAUUGGCCGCUGGUCCCGCGUGUAGAGGAUAGGCAGGAGGCAUCGAUCCGGAGGCGCCAGCCCCCGGGGAGCCGCCCUUGGAAUACUGCCCUCGCGCGACCGGCGUCCUAACCCGAGGCCGUCAACCGGCUCGGGGACCGUGCCAGGCGGGCAGUUUGACUGGGGCGGUCGCCUCCUAAAGGGUAACGGAGGCGCGCGAAGGUCCGCUCGGGACGGUCGGCAACCGUCCUUUUGAAUGCAAGAGUACAAGCGGGCUUGACUGCGAGGCCCACAAGCCGAGCAGGUGCGAAAGCAGGCUCUAGUGAUCCGGCGGCCCCGAGUGGGUGGGCCGUCGCUCAACGGAUAAAAGGUAC
rnacentral:rRNA from 1 species